rnacentral:tRNA from 1 species
GCUACUAUGGCGAAAUUGGCAGACGCAACAGACUUAAAAUCUGUCGGCUUAAAUGCUGUGUGGGUUCAAGUCCCAUUAGUAGCACCA